AGAGAGAGAGAGUGGUGAAAAUUUGUGAGGCUUCUGAAUGCGAAGAUGAAGACGAUGAUGGUGCUGGUAUUGGAAAGCCUGACCUAGCGAGAGUUCAAAAUUAUCGAAUCGAUGAUCUAACGGAAGAGAGUAGACCAAUUUGGGACGAACUUGAUCAAAGAUCUGUUUGAAAAACUUUCUCUUGUGGACUUGUAGAAAGCCUUCUCUUGUGGACUUAAUAUAUGCAGAAAGCCUCCUUCCUUUCAUAUUGAUUGCAGGAGCUGAUGAUAAGCAAGCUAGGAGAAGAAGCUGUGAAGCCAGUGCAACUGCAUUGGCUGACUCGAUAGACCUAUUGGCAGAGAACAUAAUGGCCUUACUAAUGGGUCAUGUAGAACCAUACCCUUAAUUUUAGGUAGAACGUGGUUGGAGUCCAAUGAUAUAUUAUCUCGCAGCAAAUCAAGUCCCCUUCAUAUAUGCAAAUCCUAAAGGCAAGCAUUCCCAUUUUUAUCUGUGACUAUUGUCCUGGGCUUAGUAUGGUAGCGUUCGUGUCUCCCUGCCAUCCAUUUGCACUUGUUCACAUUUCCUAACUAGGGCUAAGGGCGUUGCCUGCCAACUCACUUGAGGAGAAGCAAACAUCUCAACUGGAGGGCAUUGUUGAUAAAGUUGUAAACGAGAUCCAAUUGUAAUGAUACUUGUUUAAAAGGAUUUGUUAUUGACGAGAUAUAAAUCUGUUGAUCUUCAAGGCUCUCUUGGUUUAUAUAAUUAUGUGAUUGUAAAUUUGAUGAUAAAUCAAUGAAGGCCUUUCUUCUUCA